GCAAGAGAAUCACUUGAACCUGGGAGGUGGAGGGUGUAGUAUGCUAUGAUUGCAUUAGUGAAUAGCCACUGCACUCCAGCCUGGACAACACAGUGAGACCCAUCUCUUAAAA